UUUCCUUUGCAUAUUACUCAAUGAUUAUUUUUGUUAUAGAUUGUAAGUAUAUAUUGUAUUGAUUAAAAUCUACAGGAAAUGGUACUUAAAAUGUUUAGGGUACUAAGAAUUUGUAUUAUUUUCUAAAGAAUGAGUGUUUUAGUUUUAACUCAUUUCUUUUAUCUUAUUUUGAAAAAUUUUAAUGGUUCAGUAAUAUUUUAGGUCUUUGCAUUCAUGACUUUUAGGUAGGUACCUGAAGACAUUCCUUUUGUCCUAUUGGCUGAAUUGGGUCUGGUCCUUAGUCCCUCUGAUUUGGUUUGGUUUUGUGGUGCUGGAAAUCAAACCCAGAGACUCACUCACGAAAGGUCUGUACUCUAAAGAUAGACUACAUUCCUUAUUAGCUGGUUUGUUUUUAAUAUACUGUGACAUUAAACAACCAGAAAAUCAGAUCUGAGGGCUUCUUUUAGUUGAGGUAGAAAGGUCUUAGAUAAUAGAAAAGGCAGAUACAAUGUCCUAAUAUUUUAUAGUAGAAAUAUGAAACGCAAUUGAAAGGAGUUAUCUAAAUAGGUUAUCUUCAUUGUAUAGCACCCGUAUAUAGUGGUUUUAAUUAAAUCAGAGGAAGCAGUUAUAAAUCAUUCCUUAUUUUGCUUUAGUUAUCAUUUCAAGUCAAUUAUUUUCUAUGAGUAGUUUCCAUUGUAAGGUUGGAUAACCCUCCCCUUCAUUCAAUUCAUUACUAACAAUUAGCAUCAUCUGAUAGGAAUUCAAGUAAGUUUGACCUUUUUCCCUGGAAACAAUGAUGAGCCUAUUGUCUAUAUGGGUAUUAAGGUAGAAAUGCACUUGUCUCAAUCAUAGCAGAAAUUACAUUUGGAGAAUAUAAUUACUUGAGUUUCUAGUGAUGUGAAAUGCUUUUUAAAAAUUGUGCUCGUCUGUAACUGAAAUGUUAUAGAAUUGUAAUACUAUAGGGAUUAAUAGAGUUCUAUCUUUUAGCUCUCCACAAGAGAUUGAAGCACAAUAAUUUUCAUGUAACAGUUCUUAUCCAAGUGCUGCUAACCAGUUGCGCAAAUGAUGACGCUCUUUGAUCGCUUAUCUAGCUACUCACAGAUCACUGUAGUCUUUGAAACAUAGUCUUGUUGUUCAUUUGUGUUGAAUUUUGGGUAUUGUGGGUUAAUACAUUAGAACAGAACCCGUCAACCUAACUCUGAGACAACAAGCCAUUUGGAUUCAUUAGUUUUGUAUGUAUGUUAUCAAUAGAAAAAAUUUUGAAGGGGCUGUUCACUACCAAUGACUAAGGGGGAAAAUUCUGUCGUCAGUAUCUUUUGGCUUGAACAUCUGUGGUAUUGUAAAAGUCUUGUCUGUUGUGUUUCUAAAUUGCUUAAGCCAUACAUAGUCUUAAGGAUGUUUUCCUGUUUUGUUCCUUUUUCAAAAAGCAGCCUUCUCCUGCUUUCUGGUCGAUACUUUAGAUUUUAGAAGUUGAGAAAUUCUUGAGACUUCUUUUUCUUGAGUUCAUCAUUUCUGAAUCUUGUAAUUUGUCCAAAAGGAGAGCGAGCUUUCCACUACUUCACUUCAAUGAACUUAAGAGUAAACACUGUGAUUCUGCAGAGAUCAGUAGGCCCUGGUCUUUCCAAUGUUUUCCUCUGUUACACGGUACCACCACCAUGAGGGCACUCAAUACUAGAGGACAGACAGUUUCAGCUUUGUUUUGAUGUUAAUCGAAUUACAUAGUUAACCGAACAUUUGACUUCUGUUGUCAGUGUAUUGAAGACAUUUCUGCAUUGAUAAAUGUUCUCUAGGAAUGUGACUCCAUCCAUCAGGUGUGAACUCUUGUAAAUGAAUUUUGUAUCUUGAAUCCACGUAUAUAUUAAGUGUAUCACCAAUAUAAAAUAAACAAUUAUUUGCUUAAA